rnacentral:rRNA from 1 species
CCAAUAGCGUAUAUUAAAGUUGUUGCAGUUAAAAAGCUCGUAGUUGAAUUUCGGGAUCAGUACGCCGGUCGUGCCUUCGGUAUGUACUGGUGUCACUGAUUCCUCCCUUCUGACGAACCGUUAUGCCAUUUAUUUGGUGUGGCGGGGAAUCAGGACUGUUACUUUGAAAAAAUUAGAGUGUUUAAAGCAGGCUCGCGCUUGAAUACAUUAGCAUGGAAUAAUGAAAUAGGACGUUUGAUUCUAUUUUGUUGGCUUCUAGGAUCGAUGUAAUGAUUAAUAGGGAUAGUUGGGGGCAUUAGUAUUCAAUUGUCAGAGGUGAAAUUCUUGGAUUUAUUGAAGACUAACUACUGCGAAAGCAUUUGCCAAGGAUGUUUUUAUUAAUCAAGAACGAAAGUUAGGGGAUCGAAGACGAUCAGAUACCGUCGUAGUCUUAACCAUAAACUAUGCCGACUAGGGAUCGGAUGAUGUUAAUUUUUUUAAUGACUCAUUCGGCGCCUUACG